GGCCUCGUAGGUCAGCUGGUAGAGCGUGCGCGUACAAAGCUUAGGCGGCGUCCAUGCGUGGGUCCGAAUCCCACCGAGGCUA
rfam:Echinostoma caproni strain Egypt genome assembly, scaffold: ECPE_scaffold0018957